rnacentral:rRNA from 1 species
UACGGAGGGGGCUAGCGUUGUUCGGAAUUACUGGGCGUAAAGCGCGCGUAGGCGGAUCUGCAAGUCGGGGGGUGAAAUCCCGAGGCUCAACCUCGGAACUGCCUUCGAUACUGCGGGUCUCGAGUCCGGGAGAGGUGAGUGGAAUUCCUAGUGUAGAGGUGAAAUUCGUAGAUAUUAGGAAGAACACCAGUGGCGAAGGCGGCUCACUGGCCCGGUACUGACGCUGAGG